UACGGAGGAUCCGAGCGUUAUCCGGAUUUAUUGGGUUUAAAGGGUGCGCAGGCGGAAGAUUAAGUCGGUGGUGAAAUUUUGCAGCUUAACUGUAAAAGUGCCUUCGAAACUGGUUUCCUUGAGUGUAGAUGAAGUAGGCGGAAUUUGUGGUGUAGCGGUGAAAUGCUUAGAUAUCACGAGGAACUCCGAUUGCGCAGGCAGCUUACUAAACUACUACUGACGCUCAGGCACGAAGGCGUGGGGAUCAAACAGGAUUAGAUACCCGGGUAGUCCCUGAG
rnacentral:rRNA from 1 species